CCCUUAGAUGUUCUGGGCCGCACGCGUGCUACACUGACGAAUGCAACGAGCUUAUAACCUUGGCCGAAAGGUCUGGGUAAUCUCCAAAUUUCGUCGUGAUGGGGAUAGAUUAUUGCAAUUAUUAAUCUUCAACGAGGAAUGCCUAGUAAGCGCAAGUCAUCAGCUUGCGUUGAUUACGUCCCUGCCCUUUGUACACACCGCCCGUCGCUCCUACCGAUUGAAUGGUCCGGUGAAGCGUUCGGACCGUGGCCUUUGGACGGUUCGCCGUCUGUUGGCUGCGGGAAGUUCGUUAAACCUUAUCAUUUAGAGGAAGGAGAANUCGUAACA
rnacentral:rRNA from 1 species